AGGGGUUUGAUCAUGGCUCAGAUUGAACGCUGGCGGCAGGCCUAACACAUGCAAGUCGAGCGGAAACGACAACAUUGACCCUUCGGGUGAUUUGUUGGGCGUCGAGCGGCGGACGGGUGAGUAAUGCCUGGGAAAUUGCCCUGAUGUGGGGGAUAACCAUUGGAAACGAUGGCUAAUACCGCAUAAUGUCUACGGACCAAAGAGGGGGACCUUCGGGCCUCUCGCUUCAGGAUAUGCCCAGGUGGGAUUAGCUAGUUGGUGAGGUAAUGGCUCACCAAGGCGACGAUCCCUAGCUGGUCUGAGAGGAUGAUCAGCCACACUGGAACUGAGACACGGUCCAGACUCCUACGGGAGGCAGCAGUGGGGAAUAUUGCACAAUGGGCGCAAGCCUGAUGCAGCCAUGCCGCGUGUAUGAAGAAGGCCUUCGGGUUGUAAAGUACUUUCAGUCGUGAGGAAGGCGUUGGAGUUAAUAGCUUCAUCGUUUGACGUUAGCGACAGAAGAAGCACCGGCUAACUCCGUGCCAGCACCCGCGGUAAUACGGAGGGUGCGAGCGUUAAUCGGAAUUACUGGGCCUAAAGCGCAUGCAGGUGGUUUGUUAAGUCAGAUGUGAAAGCCCGGGGCUCAACCUCGGAACCGCAUUUGAAAC
rnacentral:rRNA from 1 species